rnacentral:misc_RNA from 1 species
GAUGAAGAACGCAGCGAAAUGCGAUAAGUAGUGUGAAUUGCAGAAUUCAGUGAAUCAUCGAAUCUUUGAACGCACAUUGCGCCCGCCAGCAUUCUGGCGGGCAUGCCUGUUCGAGCGUCAUUUCAACCCUCGAGCCCCCCCGGGGGCCUCGGUGUUGGGGGACGGCACACCAGCCGCCCCCGAAAUGCAGUGGCGACCCCGCCGCAGCCUCCCCUGCGUAGUAGCACACACCUCGCACCGGAGCGCGGAGGCGGUCACGCCGUAAAACGCCCAACUUUCUUAGAGUUGACCUCGGAUCAGGUAGGAAUACCCGCUGAACUUAAGCAUAUCAAUAAGCGGAGA